rnacentral:snoRNA from 1 species
UUUAAUAUGAUGAAUAAAAUGGAUGCGUGAACAAUCUCUGAACGUGUUGGUCAUACGAUUGACACAUGGAUUACAAAACCCUGCCUUCCUACUGAUCAAA